rnacentral:rRNA from 1 species
AUGGCUCAGAACGAACGCUGGUGGCGUGUCUUAUACAUGCAAGUCGAGCGAGGCAGCAAUGCCGAGCGGCGAACGGGUGAGUAACGCGUAAGCAAUCUGCCCCAUAUCAGGAAAUACCCGUGCCAACGCGCGGUUAGUGUCCAGGAGAGUGGCCCUCUGCAUGGAGGGUUGACUAGAGAUUUAUCGGUAUGGGAUGAGCUUGCGUCCGAUUAGCUAGUUGGCGGGGCAACGGCCCACCAAGGCGACGAUCGGUAGCCGGCCUGAGAGGGUGAUCGGCCACAUUGGGACUGAGAUACGGCCCAGACUCCUACGGGAGGCAGCAGUAGGGAAUAUUGCACAAUGGGGGAAACCCUGAUGCAGCAACGCCACGUGUGGGAAGAAGCACUUCGGUGUGUAAACCACUGUCAUGAGGGAAUAAGGCCCGCCUUCGGACGGGAUUGAAUGUACCUUGAGAGGAAGCACCGGCAAACUUCGUGCCAGCCGCAGC